GGCGGAUAUAGCUCAAUGGUAGAGUAUUAGUUUGUGGAGCUGAUUGUUAUGAGUUCAAAUCUCAUUAUCCGCCU
rnacentral:tRNA from 1 species